rnacentral:rRNA from 1 species
GAUGAACGCUGGCGGCGUGCCUAAUACAUGCAAGUCGAGCGAACAGACGAGGAGCUUGCUCCUCUGACGUUAGCGGCGGACGGGUGAGUAACACGUGGAUAACCUACCUAUAAGACUGGGAUAACUUCGGGAAACCGGAGCUAAUACCGGAUAAUAUAUUGAACCGCAUGGUUCAAUAGUGAAAGACGGUUUUGCUGUCACUUAUAGAUGGAUCCGCGCCGCAUUAGCUAGUUGGUAAGGUAACGGCUUACCAAGGCAACGAUGCGUAGCCGACCUGAGAGGGGGAUCGGCCACACGGGAACUGAGACACGGUCCAGACGCCUACGGGAGGCAGCAGUAGGGAAUCUUCCGCAAUGGGCGAAAGCCUGACGGAGCAACGCCGCGUGAGUGAUGAAGGUCUUCGGAUCGUAAAAAUCUGUUAUUAGGGAAGAACAAAUGUGUAAGUAACUAUGCACGUCUUGACGGUACCUAAUCAGAAAGCCACGGCUAACUACGUG